rnacentral:rRNA from 1 species
UACGGAGGGUGCAAGCGUUAUCCGGAUUCACUGGGUUUAAAGGGUGCGUAGGCGGACUGUUAAGUCAGUGGUGAAAUCUCAGAGCUUAACUCUGAAACUGCCAUUGAUACUAUCAGUCUUGAAUGUUCUGGAGGUGAGCGGAAUAUGUCAUGUAGCGGUGAAAUGCUUAGAUAUGACAUAGAACACCAAUUGCGUAGGCAGCUCACUACGGAAAUAUUGACGCUGAGGCACGAAAAGCGUGAGGAUCAAACAGG